rfam:Beauveria bassiana ARSEF 2860 unplaced genomic scaffold BBA_S00005, whole genome shotgun sequence.
GCUCGGAUAACUCAGUGGUAGAGUACGGGAUUGCAGCCAAGUGGGUAACCACCAGCAAGUCAUCCUGAAGUCGUCGGUUCGAUCCCGGCUCCGAGCU